ensembl:lncRNA
GAACUGCAGGUGACUUUCCCUGCAGUGGCAACUCUGGGUGUUCUCAGUGGAAUAAUGAAUGUUCUUCUGCCACUCUCACUGGUCUCUCUUGAGCCAAGUAAGAUGGCCUGGUGUGUGUUCGCUGACAAGAGGAGCAAAAUUGUCCCUCAUGCAUCUACUGCUGCAAUGGCUUUUAUGCCUCUUCUGGCUGCUACAGUCUUACCAAAGACAGCUCCCUGGCCCAGAGCCACAGAAUAUGAGGCUGGAAAGACCCAGAAUGCUCAUCUAGAUGACCUCCCACCUAGGCAGCCCAGAGGUAAGUCAUAUUUCAAGCCUAAUAGCUGUAGAAAAUACCAGCUUUUGGGACAAACAUACACUCAGUUUAACAGUAUUUACUCACCAAUCACCACUGAUUUUAUUUUGUAUCUAUGUUGUCUACAUAACUGUGGCUUAUUUCUUGUUUCAACUGACCCAGUUUCAACUUCCAACCUGUGGGAAAGCUUUAAGAGAUUCUGAAUCUGUGUUCCGUGUCUAAAUAUGUGAAAACCAAACUCUGUAUUGGAUGAGGGUAGAACAGGCAGAUACUGCAGGAAAACAAAUUUCUGGAAGCAGGAGAAAAGUUCUGCAGAGGUAAAACCAUGUCCUGGCUGCCCAUGCCCACAGUCCACUGAGUUUGCUACCCAGUGCUGGGGCAGAGGCAGGAGCAGGGGAUUGCAGGGUGUGGCACAGGCUCGGUGGGCUUUGCAGGGCUCUGUCUUUGUGUAGGAGAUGGAGGAAAACAUUGAAGUGCCCAUAAAGGCUCUUUUAUUUUCAACUAAGAAGCAGCAAAAGUCAGUUUUGUCCAUAUAAUUGAGAAAUGUGGGAUUGUCUCUUCAGGCCAGUGAUGCAUUCUCCGCUGUGUUCACCUUUGCGAGGAUACCAAAUGUUUCCAUCUCUCACUGUAAGAUGUUUUGUAGCCUCUAGGACUCUCUCCUGUUCAUUUGUGCCCCACUCAGGAGGUGGCCUGAACAGAACAGCCCAUAAAGGCUGAUGUCAGAACUGACAUAACUUACUGCAUCAUAUUUGGCCUAUAUCCGUGUAUUUCCCUAACCUCAACUCAUCAGCCUGGGCUCUCUUCUGCUGUGAGUCUUUCAUCCUUCUAUGUGUUUGAGCUUGUUUUUGGCUACAUUGGAAAGAUUAUGGUUUGCCCAUGCAAAUGAUCAAGCUGACUAUUUGGGUUACAAUCUUUCCUCCUUGUUGCAUAAUGUUGCACUGAUUUAGGAGUUUUUGAAAAUAUUACUCAGGAAUCACUGUAUCACAUAUUUUGUGCUGUGCAAAAAAAAGAAGUCGUGCAUAUUCAGCUACCUUCUUUCAAACUGGAAAUUAACUUAAUCUUAUUAUGAAUAAUAUUUUUCUAUAAUUUCCUACUGUUAUCAUUUUAUUAGUUACUUCUAGAAUCAAGGAGUUAAUCUAGGUCAACAUCCUGGAAAUGGGGAUGUGGUCAAUAGUGGAUGAGGUCAGCCACACUACAGCUAAAUCCUGGAACACCUUCAGGAGCAGAAGUUCCACAGGCUCUGGGCAGCCAUUGUC